rnacentral:rRNA from 1 species
AGGAUGAACGCUGGCGGCGUGCUUAACACAUGCAAGUCGAACGAUGAAGGCUGGAGCUUGCUCUGGCUGGAUUAGUGGCGAACGGGUGAGUAACACGUGAGUAACCUGCCCCAGACUCUGGGAUAAGCGCUGGAAACGGCGUCUAAUACCGGAUACGAGCUUCCACCGCAUGGUGAGGAGCCGGAAAGAAUUUCGGUCUGGGAUGGACUCGCGGCCUAUCAGCUUGUUGGUGAGGUAAUGGCUCACCAAGGCGACGACGGGUAGCCGG